rnacentral:tRNA from 1 species
GCAUCCGUAGCUCAGCUGGAUAGAGUACUGCCCUCCGAAGGCAGGGGUCACAGGUUCGAAUCCUGUCGGAUGCG